rnacentral:rRNA from 1 species
GACGAACGCUGGCGGCGUGCCUAAUACAUGCAAGUCGAGCGGACCAAACAGGAGCUUGCUCUUGUUUGGUUAGCGGCGGACGGGUGAGUAACACGUGGGUAACCUGCCCGUAAGACCGGGAUAACUCCGGGAAACCGGAGCUAAUACCGGAUAACACCGAAGACCGCAUGGUCUUUGGUUGAAAGGCGGCUUCGGCUGCCACUUACGGAUGGGCCCGCGGCGCAUUAGCUAGUUGGUGAGGUAACGGCUCACCAAGGCGACGAUGCGUAGCCGGCCUGAGAGGGUGACCGGCCACACUGGGACUGAGACGCGGCCCAGACUCCUACGGGAGGCAGCAGUAGGGAAUCUUCCGCAAUGGACGAAAGUCUGACGGAGCGACGCCGCGUGAGCGAAGAAGGUCUUCGGAUCGUAAAGCUCUGUUGUUAGGGAAGAAGAAGCGCCGUUCGAACAGGGCGGCGCGGUGACGGUACCUAACGAGAAAGCCCCGGCUAACUACGUG